rnacentral:tRNA from 1 species
AAUUAUUAGGUGAUACAGUCAGUUGAUUAGGAGAAAAUUUGGUUUUCUAAAGUGAAUCAAUAAUUG